GACGAACGCUGGCGGCGUGCUUAACACAUGCAAGUCGAACGAUGACGACCGAGCUUGCUCGGUCUGAUUAGUGGCGAACGGGUGAGUAACACGUGAGCAACCUGCCCUUCACUCUGGGAUAACCUCGGGAAAUCGGGGCUAAUACCGGAUAUGAGCUCCUGUCGCAUGGCGGGUUUUGGAAAUUUUUUCGGUGAAGGAUGGGCUCGCGGCCUAUCAGUUUGUUGGUGAGGUAGUGGCUCACCAAGGCGAUGACGGGUAGCCGGCCUGAGAGGGCGACCGGCCACACUGGGACUGAGACACGGCCCAGACUCCUACGGGAGGCAGCAGUGGGGAAUAUUGCACAAUGGGCGACAGCCUGAUGCAGCGACGCCGCGUGAGGGAUGACGGCCUUCGGGUUGUAACCCUCUUUCAGCAGGGAAGAAGCGAAAGUGACGGUACCUGCAGAAGAAGCGCCGGCUAACUACGUG
rnacentral:rRNA from 1 species